CCUACGGGGGGCUGCAGUGAAGAAUAUUGCACAAUGGAGGAAACUCUGAUGCAGCAACGCCGCGUGAAGGAUGAAGGUUUUCGGAUUGUAAACUUCUUUUGUCGGGGACGAAAAAAAUGACGGUACCUGACGAAUAAGCCACGGCUAACUACGUGCCAGCAGCCGCGGUAAUACGUAGGUGGCAAGCGUUAUCCGGAUUUACUGGGUGUAAAGGGCGAGUAGGCGGGAUCAUAAGUCAGAUGUGAAAUCUGGGGGCUCAACCCCCAAACUGCAUU
rnacentral:rRNA from 1 species